UCCUACGGGGGGCAGCAGUAGGGAAUUUUCGGCAAUGGGCGAAAGCCUGACCGAGCAACGCCGCGUGAGUCAAGAAGGCCUUCGGGUUGUAAAGCUCUGUUGUGAAGGAAGAACGGCUCAUACAGGGAAUGGUAUGGGAGUGACGGUACUUUACCAGAAAGCCACGGCUAACUACGUGCCAGCAGCCGCGGUAAUACGUAGGUGGCGAGCGUUAUCCGGAAUUAUUGGGCGUAAAGGGUGCGCAGGCGGUUUGUUAAGUUUAAGGUGAA
rnacentral:rRNA from 1 species